AUCUGCCUGGUAGUGGGGGAUAACGUCCGGAAACGGACGCUAAUACCGCAUACGUCCUACGGGAGAAAGCAGGGGACCUUCGGGCCUUGCGCUAUCAGAUGAGCCUAGGUCGGAUUAGCUAGUUGGUGGGGUAAUGGCUCACCAAGGCGACGAUCCGUAACUGGUCUGAGAGGAUGAUCAGUCACACUGGAACUGAGACACGGUCCAGACUCCUACGGGAGGCAGCAGUGGGGAAUAUUGGACAAUGGGCGAAAGCCUGAUCCAGCCAUGCCGCGUGUGUGAAGAAGGUCUUCGGAUUGUAAAGCACUUUAAGUUGGGAGGAAGGGCAGUAAAUUAAUACUUUGCUGUUUUGACGUUACCGACAGAAUAAGCACCGGCUAACUCUGUGCCAGCAGCCGCGGUAAUACAGAGGGUGCAAGCGUUAAUCGGAAUUACUGGGCGUAAAGCGCGCGUAGGUGGUUCGUUAAGUUGGAUGUGAAAUCCCCGGGCUCAACCUGGGAACUGCAUUCAAAACUGACGAGCUAGAGUAUGGUAGAGGGUGGUGGAAUUUCCUGUGUAGCGGUGAAAUGCGUAGAUAUAGGAAGGAACACCAGUGGCGAAGGCGACCACCUGGACUGAUACUGACACUGA
rnacentral:rRNA from 1 species